rnacentral:rRNA from 1 species
CGCUUUUGUCAGGGAAGAAAAGGUUCUGGCUAAUACCUGGGACUCAUGACGGUACCUGAAGAAUAAGCACCGGCUAACUACGUGCCAGCAGCCGCGGUAAUACGUAGGGUGCAAGCGUUAAUCGGAAUUACUGGGCGUAAAGCGUGCGCAGGCGGUUAUGCAAGACAGAGGUGAAAUCCC